GAUGAAGAACGCAGCGAAAUGCGAUACUUGGUGUGAGUUGCAGAAUCCCGUGAACCAUCGAGUCUUUGAACGCAAGUUGCGCCCGAAGCCAUUAGGCCGAGGGCACGCCUGCCUGGGCGUCACACGUCGUUGCCCCCCCAUCUACUCCUUCGGGAUUGCGGGGGGCGGAUGAUGGCCUCCCGUGCGCCUCGCCGCGCGGUUGGCAUAAAUGCCAAGUCCUCGGCGACGCACGCCACGACAAUCGGUGGUUGCGAAACCUCGGUUGCCCGUCGUGUGCGGUCGUCGCGCAUCGAGGGCUCGAAAAAAUUGCCGGGUUCCGGCUCGGCUUUCAACGCGACCCCAGGUCAGGCGGGGUUACCCGCUGAAUUUAAGCAUAUCAAUAAGCGGAGGA
rnacentral:misc_RNA from 1 species